rnacentral:lncRNA from 10 species
CAGCAGCACAAUUAUGUCCUGCCAUCCACGAUCGGGGUGGCCUUGGUUUCAGGUUCUAUUUCAGGGCCGUUGGUGAGUCUUCACAGUCAAGUCUCUGAAACCUCCGGAGCCUCGGUUUCCACAAAUUCAAAUGGAAAUCAUCAUGUCAGGGAUGUUAUAAAACUGCAGACACAUGAGCAGAACCCAGGAUGGAAGAAUGUAAUCACCAGCGUGACUCCAGUGAUGGAGAUGAACUAGAUGUGGAGACUGGGGAGCAGCAGAGUCAACUCAGUUAUCAUCUUGGCGGCCGGGCUGCCGUCCAGCUCACAGAAGCCACCUGAUCCGGAAAAGAUUUCCAAAGCCUGCUGGAGCUGUUUCCAUACAGGCAGAGGCCAGUGUCAUCUCCAGCACCUGGGGGACAUAAGAGAAAGAGCCAGUGGCCUCCAAGACAAUCUCAGUGUCUUCCCACUCACAGAACCAGGCAACAAAGAAGUCUGUGGCGUCCACAGGAGGGAAACAAAGCAAAACGAAGCGCCGACCAGUGCGGUACUAUUAAUUCAAAUUAAUGACCCUCACCUACAAAUAAAGCUGGUGCCUGGCAGGUCGCUGGCUCUUGGAGAGCUGCAAUGAGAACAAACGUGGCUUUGCCGUCUGGCCAGGCAAUCGAUGCCUCCUGCCUGUCCCUGGCCGCCCCGCACCCACCUCUUACAGAUGUUACCUGUCUCCUGUUAAUUCUCCCGUGUCACUCUCCACUUCCCCGGUGGGGGUGGGGGGGGGGCGGUCAAGGGUUGACCUGGAGGGUGGGCUUAUUUCAUAAGAAAGGCCGAUUGAAAGGGCCCAGAUGCAAAGUCACACUGCUCUGCUGAGCUGGGAGGACACCCCACUGAGAGACGUGUCUGAAAUGGGUGGAGGUCUCUGGGCAUCACUGGCAGGGGUGGGUGCCUGACUGUCAUUUAGGGACAUUUCUGCCUUGAUCUGUUGCUCUUAUUUAUCUCUGCCAAAAUAAAGAUGUGUUUGAUGAUAAAGACUUCUUUUAUUCAGCCUCUCAGUUAUUCCAGCACGGUAGUUAGAGAUGAAUACAACGUUGCCCUUAAGCUACAACCUGAUCUUCACAAAAACCCUUUGAAGAAG